rnacentral:rRNA from 1 species
GUAGGGGGCGAGCGUUGUCCGGAUUUAUUGGGCGUAAAGGGCUCGUAGGCGGUUCAGCAAGUCAACCGUGAAAACCCGGGGCUCAACCCUGGGACGCCGGUCGAAACUGCUGUGACUAGGGUCCGGUAGAGGUGAGUGGAAUUCUCGGUGUAGCGGUGAAAUGCGCAGAUAUCGAGAGGAACACCAGUAGCGAAGGCGGCUCACUGGGCCGGUACCGACGCUGAGGAGCGAAAGCGUGGGGAGCAAACAGGAUUAGAUACCCUGGGUAGUCCACGCCGUAAACGUUGAACACUAGGUGUGGCGGACUUAUCCACGUCUGCCGCGCCGCAGCUAACGCAUUAAGUGUUCCGCCUGGGGAGUACGGCCGCAAGGCUA